rnacentral:lncRNA from 1 species
GCUGCAUAAAAUUUUAAAAUUGCAUGUACUGCACUACCGCAUAUUUUCUUCAACUGGUAUCAGAGCCAGGUUGUUUUGAUAUGAAUUAAUAUAAUUUUAGAUCUAAUUUUUUAUUAUUAGAUCUGAUUAUUUAUAAUUUAGAUUAGAUCUAAAUUAAUUUAUUUUUAGAUUGAUUAUUAUUUAUUUACAUUAGAUAUUCUGAGUAGCAAAGUACUCGAAUUGGAU